AACGAACGCUGGCGGCAGGCUUAACACAUGCAAGUCGAACGGGUGUAGCAAUACAUCAGUGGCAGACGGGUGAGUAACACGUGGGAACCUUCCUCGUUGUACGGAACAACUCAGGGAAACUUGAGCUAAUACCGUAUACGUCCGAGAGGAGAAAGAUUUAUCGCAAUGAGACGGGCCCGCGUCGGAUUAGCUAGUUGGUGGGGUAACGGCCUACCAAGGCGACGAUCCGUAGCUGAUCUGAGAGGAUGAUCAGCCACACUGGGACUGAGACACGGCCCAGACUCCUACGGGAGGCAGCAGUGGGGAAUCUUGGACAAUGGGCGCAAGCCUGAUCCAGCCAUGCCGCGUGAGUGAAGAAGGCCUUCGGGUUGUAAAGCUCUUUUGCCAGGGACGAUAAUGACGGUACCUGGAGAAUAAGCCCCGGCAAACUUCGUGCCAGCCGCCGCGGUAAGAC
rnacentral:rRNA from 1 species